AGAGAGAAAGCCCUGCUUCUGAUGCCUCCGUCAUAAAUGAAGGAUCUCUCUUGUCCUCCACCCUUCUCCAGCCCUUGGGCGUCUUCAGCAUCAGAUGUCAUCCUGCCAAAGAC
rnacentral:lncRNA from 1 species